GGAUCUAAAAAAGGCAUUCGACACGGUUAAUCACAAAAUAUUACUUUCUAAGUUAGAGCUGUAUGGAAUAAGAGGGCACAGUUUAGAUUGGUUCAGAUCUUAUUUUACGAAUAGAAAACAGGUCUGUGCAAUUAAUGGUAAACUUUCUGAUGAGAAAGAAAUUCACUACGGGGUCCCACAGGGAUCGAAUCUUGGCCCCUUCUUGUUCCUUUUGUACAUUAAUGAUUUGCCUAACUGCCUUGAAAAAACUAAGGCCAGAUUAUUUGCUGACGAUACAACUCUUUCAGCAACAGGAUCAACCGUAGACGAAAUUGAAACAAAACUAAAUCAUGACCUUGUAAAUGUGGAUCAAUGGCUCAUUGCAAACAAACUAACCUUAAAUGAUGGCAAAACGGAAUUUAUAAUAAUAGGCUCAAGGCAACGAGCGCCAUCUUUCGAACAUGGUCC